AGUGAACGCUGGCGGUAGGCCUAACACAUGCAAGUCGAACGGCAGCACAGUAAGAGCUUGCUCUUACGGGUGGCGAGUGGCGGACGGGUGAGGAAUACAUCGGAAUCUACUUUUUCGUGGGGGAUAACGUAGGGAAACUUACGCUAAUACCGCAUACGACCUACGGGUGAAAGCAGGGGAUCUUCGGACCUUGCGCGAUUGAAUGAGCCGAUGUCGGAUUAGCUAGUUGGCGGGGUAAAGGCCCACCAAGGCGACGAUCCGUAGCUGGUCUGAGAGGAUGAUCAGCCACACUGGAACUGAGACACGGUCCAGACUCCUACGGGAGGCAGCAGUGGGGAAUAUUGGACAAUGGGCGCAAGCCUGAUCUAGCCAUACCGCGUGGGUGAUGAAGGCCUUCGGGUUGUAAAGCCCUUUUGUUGGGAAAGAAAAGCAGCAGGUUAAUACCCCGCUGUUCUGACGGUACCCAAAGAAUAAGCACCGGCUAACUUCGUG
rnacentral:rRNA from 1 species